UUAUUGUCCGUACUGAUGUGAUGGGUUCUUACCUUCUGAAUAACCAGCGUGUCAUUAAUUUGGUGUGUUGGGGAAGCAGGACUAUUACCUUGAAAAAAUUAGAGUGCUCAAAGCAGGCUAGUGCCUGAAUACAUUAGCAUGGAAUAAUAAAAUAGGACGGCAUGGUUCUAUUUUGUUGGUUUCUAGGAUCACCGUAAUGAUUAAUAGGGAUAGUUGGGGGCAUUAGUAUUCAAUUGUCAGAGGUGAAAUUCUUGGAUUUAUUGAAGACUAACUUCUGCGAAAGCAUUUGCCAAGGAUGUUUUCAUUAAUCAAGAACGAAAGUUAGGGGAUCGAAGACGAUCAGAUACCGUCGUAGUCUUAACCAUAAACUAUGCCGACUAGGGAUCGGACGAUGCUAAUUUUUUAAUGACUCGUUCGGCGCCUUACG
rnacentral:rRNA from 1 species